rnacentral:lncRNA from 1 species
CCCAAGGCCUUUGCUGUUUUUAAACAAAUCCACCCUUAGCCAACUCUCCCCACCAGGCUUUUCCACAUGAUUUGAUGGGAUGGGGCCUGCCGCCUCCUCCCUCUGCCUGGGGAAGGGUUCCUAGAUGCGUGGGGGAGGACGUGCGGCUCCUUCCUUUUCCUGGUGGCGCCGUGAAGAUCUGUGUGUGUACUUCUUGGAAAGAUUCCAGAGACGUGAUUAUGCUUUCCCAGAAAAGCUGAAGCUUAGCGUGUAUCAUUGCAUGCAGAUCCAGCUAACCCCACUUCAAAGUUUAUGUGAGGAAUACAUAAUCCAGUUGUUUGAACUCCAGUUGUAACAAGGUCCCCUCAUCUGCUCAUCUGCCUCGAUGUGACUUUUCCACCUUUGAGCUUGACUGCUAGUCAUCUCCACCUUGUAUCUCCAAACCCAUCAGCAAUUUUUCAAGGAUGGGCCAAAGCUUUCUGUAGGCACUUUGGAAGGACCUGUGGCACGAGAGACAGGAAUGUAUUAACAAGUGCAGAGCUGGGAGCCCCUCAGAGGUCAUCUGGCCCAAUUAUCUGGUUUUAAGGAGGAAGAAAAGGGGGCCUAAAGGAGUCAACUGCAAGCUCUGUGGACUGCUGGAGCUCUCUUCCUUAAAGCAUUUGGCCUUCUGGCAAUAAAGGGACAGCAGAGACCUGCUCUCACUUGAGCCUCACUGGGUCCUUGUGGCAAGAGCUGCCAUGUGUUUACCUCCUUGAAUCUUGACCACUGCCCCUCAGGAAGUCAUGGCUUAGGGCCGUUGAGCUCACCUGUCACACAGCAACACACAAAGGAGCCAGAUCCAGGCCCUCAGGGAGUAGCUCAUGGCUCCAGCCCAGGCUGAGAGCCUCUCUCCUGCAUGCUGGGGACUCUGGGCGAUGGACUCAGACUGUGCGCUUUGCAGAGGCUGCUAAAAAUGAGGCCACCGAGGCUGGGCGUGGUGGCUCACGCCUGUAAUCCCAGCACUUUGGGAGGCCAAGGCAGGUAGAUCACCUAAGGUCAGGAGUUUGAGACCAGCUUGGCUAACAUGGUGAAACCCCAUCUCCACUAAAAAUACAAAAAUUAGCCAGGUGUGGUGGUGGGUAAUCCCAGCUACUCUGGAGGCUGAGGCAGGAGAAUUGCUUGAACCUGGGAGGUGGAGGUUGCGGUGAGCUGAGAUCACGCCAUCGCACUGCAGCCUGGGCUACAAGAGCAAAACUCUGUCUCAAAAACAAACAGAAAGACAACAACAAAAAACCGAUACCACUGUCGAGAGAGACAGGCAAUUGUGCGUGAAAUCGGUCUUUCUUUUGAAGUCGGAGACUAUAACAACUGUGGCCUCAGAUCACCGAUGAGAGCCACCCAUGGCAGGCAGCCUCCAGGCCUGAGGGAGAACCAGUGGAUCCUCACCAUCUUUAGUUAGUAAGCAAAAGAAAACCGGUGAGUCAGGCUGCAGUCACGACCUCACCCAGCUUGCGGAAGGAGGGAGACAUUCCUCAGGGCUCCCCUUUCUGAUGUUGCCUUGCUUUGUACCUACUGUUCCUUUUCCUGUUCAGCAGAUGACAGAUGUUUGACAUUAAGCAAUUUAGAGUUUUGUUUUUUAAAAAACAGAAUCAUAGAUUAUCAGAAGUGGAAGUCCCUUUGGAAUCAUUUCCCCUGGGUUACACAGAUGGCUAUGGCAGGGUAAAGGGAGCCGAAGGUCAGCGGGGACUGAGCCUGGGCCCCCUCCAGGCUUUGCAGCAAUGACCAGGCAGCAAGUCGGCCUCCAGGGCUUGUGGGCUGCCCUUUCUCUGGGGUCAGCCUGAGGCUGGAAGAGGCCCGUGGUCCACCGGUCAUCAGGCCAACCUGAUGGAGCUGGAGCUUCCCUGGAGCUCACGACGUAAGGGCCCUGCCAGGCCUUGGGCCUCUGACCCUCAGUCCUGAAGCCUCCCUCUAGCAGCGCCCACCCUGCUCCCUUUCCUGCUGAAUUUUACUCAAGUCCGUACUGGACAUGGCCGGCCCUAGGUUAACCCGGCAGAGUUAUUAACCAGGAGUGGAUCUUUCCAACCCCCUUCCCGCCGGCCCUUCCUGCUGUCCACACCCGGCCAACUCCGCGGUCCUGGCAAGGGAGGCCUUCCUGGAGGCGGCGGCGGGCGGCGCGUCCGGCCUUUGUGCCCCCACGCUCUCCAGGGGUGGGUCCGGGGACUGCCAGAUCAGGGGACCCUUUGCGCCCUGGAGCCUUGGGGGCUGGAUGACGUCGCCGGGCACCUGAGGACCCCGCCCGUUCCUCCCUCGGUUCCCCAGGGAGCGGGCUGCCGGGGGCGGGGCGGGCCGAAGGAAGGGGCGCGUGCUACGACGCCGCGCACGCGCCAGA